rnacentral:rRNA from 1 species
UUUAAAGAGAGUUUGAUCCUGGCUCAGGACGAACGCUGGCGGCGUGCCUAAUACAUGCAAGUCGAACGAAC